UACGAAGGGGGCUAGCGUUGCUCGGAAUGACUGGGCGUAAAGGGCGCGUAGGCGGCUUGCACCGUCAGAUGUGAAAUUCCUGGGCUUAACCUGGGGGCUGCAUUUGAUACGUGUGGGCUUGAGUGCGGAAGAGGGUCGUGGAAUUCCCAGUGUAGAGGUGAAAUUUGUAGAUAUUGGGAAGAACACCGGUGGCGAAGGCGGCGACCUGGUCCGUGACUGACGCUGAGGCGCGAAAGCGUGGGGAGCAAACAGG
rnacentral:rRNA from 1 species